UCUUAUAAGCCUAAGUAGUGU
rnacentral:siRNA from 1 species